GCCACUUUAGCUCAGUUGGUAGAGCGGCUCACUCGUAAUGAGCAGGUAGCCGGUUCGAAUCCGGCAAGUGGCUCCA
rnacentral:tRNA from 2 species